GAACAAUUUUCGCGUGAAACCCUCCAGGCAAAUUGUGCACACGUGCUUCUUUGUCACGUCAUUUCUUAAUUCUAACUGCGAGACACUCGCAUGAUGCGUUCUUAAGUGAUUUGUCAGGUUCUUCUUGUAAGGGAAGAAGCCUUUUUCACAUUGUUCGCAUUUAAAGGAAUAGUCUUUGGUGUGUCUUCGACGAUGGCUCUCGAGGUUUGACUUUUGGUUUGAUCUAUAGUCACAUAAG